rnacentral:rRNA from 1 species
AUUGCAGGCUGCAACUCGCCUGCAUGAAGUCGGAAUUGCUAGUAAUCGUAGGUCAGCAUACUACGGUGAAUACGUUCCCGGGCCUUGUACACACCGCCCGUCAAACCAUGAGAGUUGGCAACACCCGAAGUCGGUAGUCUAACCGCAAGGAGGACGCCGCCGAAGGUGGGUCGAUGAUUAGGGUUAAGUCGUAACAAGGUAAC